rnacentral:rRNA from 2 species
UUGACCUCGGAUCAGGUAGGAGUACCCGCUGAACUUAAGC